rnacentral:misc_RNA from 1 species
UCCGGCUUGUCGCCGGCGGUCCCUUUAGAGUGCCCAACUAAAUGAUGGCAACUAAAGGCGAGGGUUGCGCUCGUUGCGGGACUUAACCCAACACCUCACGGCACGAGCUGACGACAGCCAUGCAGCACCUUGCUCCUUGUCCUUGCGGAACGAUCCGUCUCCGGACCCAUCAAGGGCAUUCUAGCCCAGGUAAGGUUCUUCGCGUUACAUCGAAUUAAGCCACAUGCUCCGCCGCUUGUGCGGGUCCCCGUCAAUUCCUUUGAGUUUUAGCCUUGCGGCCGUACUCCCCAGGCGGAGUGCUUAAUGCGUUAGCUGCGGCAAAGAGAGGGUUGAAGACCGCCCCACACCUAGCACCCAACGUUUACGGCUGGGACUAC